CAGCCGUAAACUAUGCGCGUUAGGUGUAUCGGUGACCACGAGUUACCGAGGUGCCGAAGGGAAACCGUGAAACGUGCCGCCUGGGAAGUACGGUCGCAAGGCUGAAACUUAAAGGAAUUGGCGGGGGGAGCACCACAACAGGUGGAGCCUGCGGUUUAAUUGGAUUCAACGCCGGACAUCUCACCGGAUAAGACAGCUGAAUGAUUGUCAAUCUGAAGGUUUUACAUGACUAGCUGAGAGGAGGUGCAUGGCGUCAGUGACU
rnacentral:rRNA from 1 species